GACGAACGCUGGCGGCGUGCUUAACACAUGCAAGUCGAACGGUGAAGCGCCUUCCUUUUUGGUGGGUGUGGAUGAGUGGCGAACGGGUGAGUAACACGUGAGUAACCUGCCCCCUUCUUCUGGAUAACCGCAUGAAAGUGUGGCUAAUACGGGAUAUUCUGGGUCUGUCGCAUGAUGGGUCUGGGAAAGAUAUUGUUUCGGUGGGGGAUGGGCUCGCGGCCUAUCAGCUUGUUGGUGGGGUGAUGGCCUACCAAGGCGGUGACGGGUAGCCGGCCUGAGAGGGUGGACGGUCACACUGGGACUGAGACACGGCCCAGACUCCUACGGGAGGCAGCAGUGGGGAAUAUUGCACAAUGGGCGCAAGCCUGAUGCAGCGACGCCGCGUGAGGGAUGGAGGCCUGCGGGUUGUGAACCUCUUCCGCCAGUGAAGCAGGCCUGCCUCGUUUGUGGGUGGGUUGACGGUAGCUGGAUAAGAAGCGCCGGCUAACUACGUG
rnacentral:rRNA from 1 species